rnacentral:rRNA from 1 species
AGUGAACGCUGGCGGUAGGCCUAACACAUGCAAGUCGAACGGCAGCACAGUAAGAGCUUGCUCUUACGGGUGGCGAGUGGCGGACGGGUGAGGAAUACAUCGGCAUCUACUUUUUCGUGGGGGAUAACGUAGGGAAACUUAUGCUAAUACCGCAUACGACCUACGGGUGAAAGCAGGGGAUCUUCGGACCUUGCGCGAUUGAAUGAGCCGAUGUCGGAUUAGCUAGUUGGCGGGGUAAAGGCCCACCAAGGCGACGAUCCGUAGCUGGUCUGAGAGGAUGAUCAGCCACACUGGAACUGAGACACGGUCCAGACUCCUACGGGAGGCAGCAGUGGGGAAUAUUGGACAAUGGGCGCAAGCCUGAUCCAGCCAUACCGCGUGGGUGAAGAAGGCCUUCGGGUUGUAAAGCCCUGUUGUUGGGGAAGAAAAGCAGCAGGUUAAUACCCCGCUGUUCUGACGGUACCCAAAGAAUAAGCACCGGCUAACUUCGUG